GUUCACCAUUUUGUGUGUCCAAGGACCACCUACUUUUUACAUAUGACAAGAACUACCCACCUCCACUCUUCAGGACAGAACAUGCUGGAGAAAAGAGUUACAAUGAGAAAAUAUAUGGGAACAAAAUACCUAUGCAAUGCAGAAGUCUGCAUAACUAAACCACUCAGAGGAAAAAAUUUCCCUCCCAGGCUGGAGUACAAUGGCGCAAUCUCAGCUCACGUCAACUUCUACCUCCCAGGUUCAAGCAAUUCUCCCACUUCAGCCUCCUUAGUAGCUGGGAUGACAGGCGCCUGCCACCAGUCCCAGCUAUUUUUGUAUUUUUAGUAGAGAUGGGGUUUCACCAUGUUGGCCAGGCUGGUCUCAAACUCCUGACCUCAGUCCAUCCGUCCACCUCGGCCUCCCAAAGUGCCAGGAUUGCAGGCAUGAGCCACCACGCCUGGCCUCAAGUUUAAUUCUUAAGUGCUCUUCCUCACUCUCUGGCUUUCUCACUUUCUGGGAAGACAUUUGUCAUACUGUGAGAUACCCUAUGAAAAGUCUCAAAUUGCAAGAAGUGAGAGGCUCCAGACAAUAGCCAGGUAGAAACUGAGGCUUUUCAUCCGACAUCUUUGAGGACCUAAAUAUUGCCACGAACCAAAUAAAUGAACUUGACAUUCCACCCUCCCCAGGUUGCCCUUCAGAUAAAACUCCAGCCCUGG
rnacentral:lncRNA from 1 species